GGUUGCGAUCAUACCAGCACUAAUGCACCGGAUCCCAUCAGAACUCCGCAGGGGUCGUAGUUGUUUGGGUCUAGGGGAUUGGGUGCAGGUACCCUAGGUAUCUCCUCUGGGUUGUAAUCA
rnacentral:rRNA from 1 species